rnacentral:rRNA from 2 species
CACCGCGGUUAUACGAGAGGCCCAAGUUGAUAGACACCGGCGUAAAGCGUGGUUAAGGUAUACUACAACUAAAGCCGAACACCUUCAAGGCAGUUAUACGCAUUCGAAGGCACGAAGCCCCACUACGAAAGUGGCUUUAUAAACCCUGACUCCACGAAAGCUAUGAUA